rnacentral:other from 1 species
AGAUACCUGCCGUGCGCGUGAUGUCGCACCCAAGUUUUGAGCCAACACCCAUCAAGAGGGACGCAUUGGUCAGGAACAAGCGCGAUAGUCCUGCGUCGGUCAAGGCGUGAGUUCCAGUCAGGCGACCCACCUGCGAAAGCAGGUUCAAAACGACGCGUUCACACGGUACGGCGGGGUUUUA